AUUGAACGCUGGCGGCAGGCCUAACACAUGCAAGUCGAGCGGAGCGGCGUACGGGUGAGUAAUGCCUAGGAAUCUUCCUGGUCGUGGGGGAUAACGUCCGGAAACGGGCCCUAAUACCGCAUACUCUCAGAUUAACCUAGGUCGGAUUAGCUAGGUGGUGGGGUAAAGGCCUACCAAGGCGACGAUCCGUAACUGGUCUGAGAGGAUGAUCAGUCACACUGGAACGGAGACACGGUCCAGACUCCUACGGGAGGCAGCAGUGGGGAAUAUUGGACAAUGGGCGAAAGCCUGAUCCAGCCAUGCCGCGUGUGUGAAGAAGGUCUUCGGAUUGUAAAGUACUUUAAGUUGGGAGGCGUUACCAACAGAAUAAGAACCGGCUAACUCCGUGCCAGCAGCCGCGGUAAUUC
rnacentral:rRNA from 1 species